GAACGGACUACUUCGGUAGUUAGUGGCGAACGGGUGAGUAAUGCCUAGGAAUCUGCCCAUUAGCGGGGGAUAACGUGUGGAAACGCACGCUAAUACCGCAUACGCCCUACGGGGGAAAGCAGGGGAUCUUCGGACCUUGCACUAAUGGAUGAGCCUAGGUCGGAUUAGCUAGUUGGUAGGGUAAAGGCCUACCAAGGCUACGAUCUGUAGCGGGUCUGAGAGGAUGAUCCGCCACACUGGAACUGAGACACGGUCCAGACUCCUACGGGAGGCAGCAGUGGGGAAUAUUGGACAAUGGGCGAAAGCCUGAUCCAGCCAUGCCGCGUGUGUGAAGAAGGCCUUUUGGUUGUAAAGCACUUUAAGCGAGGAGGAGGGCACUUAGGUUAAUACCCUGAUAUGUCGGACGUUACUCGCAGAAUAAGCACCGGCUAACUCUGUGCCAGCAGCCGCGGUAAUACAGAGGGUGCGAGCGUUAAUCGGAAUUACUGGGCGUAAAGCGCGCGUAGGCGGUUAUGUAAGUUGGAUGUGAAAUCCCCGGGCUUAACCUGGGCACUGCAUUCAAAACUGCAUAGCUAGAGUAUGGGAGAGGAAGGUAGAAUUCCAGGUGUAGCGGUGAAAUGCGUAGAGAUCUGGAGGAAUACCGAUGGCGAAGGCAGCCUUCUGGCCUAAUACUGACGCUGAGGUGCGAAAGCAUGGGGAGCAAACAGGAUUAGAUACCCUGGUAGUCCAUGCCGUAAACGAUGUCAACUAGCCGUUGGGGACCUUGAGUCCUUAGUGGCGCAGCUAACGCGAUAAGUUGACCGCCUGGGGAGUACGGUCGCAAGACUA
rnacentral:rRNA from 1 species